rnacentral:rRNA from 1 species
GUGCCAGCCGCCGCGGUAAUACCGGCAGCCCGAGUGAUGGCCGAUCUUAUUGGGCCUAAAGCGUCCGUAGCUGGCUGCGCAAGUCCGUCGGGAAAUCCACUCGCUUAACGAGUGGGCGUCCGGCGGAAACUGUGCGGCUUGGGACCGGAAGAUCCAAGGGGUACGUCCGGGGUAGGAGUGAAAUCCCGUAAUCCUGGACGGACCACCGAUGGCGAAAGCACUUCGAGAAAACGGAUCCGACAGUGAGGGACGAAAGCCAGGGUCUCGAACCGGAUUAGAUACCCUGGUAGUCC